rnacentral:rRNA from 1 species
UAGAGUUUUGAUCCUGGCUCAGAUUGAACGCUGGCGGCAUGCCUUACACAUGCAAGUCGAACGGUAACAGGUCUUCGGAUGCUGACGAGUGGCGAACGGGUGAGUAAUACAUCGGAACGUGCCCAGACGUGGGGGAUAACGAGGCGAAAGCUUUGCUAAUACCGCAUACGAUCUAAGGAUGAAAGCAGGGGACCGCAAGGCCUUGCGCGUUUGGAGCGGCCGAUGGCAGAUUAGGUAGUUGGUGGGAUAAAAGCUUACCAAGCCGACGAUCUGUAGCUGGUCUGAGAGGACGACCAGCCACACUGGGACUGAGACACGGCCCAGACUCCUACGGGAGGCAGCAGUGGGGAAUUUUGGACAAUGGGCGAAAGCCUGAUCCAGCAAUGCCGCGUGCAGGAUGAAGGCCUUCGGGUUGUAAACUGCUUUUGUACGGAACGAAAAGGCUCUGGCUAAUACCUGGGGCACAUGACGGUACCGUAAGAAUAAGCACCGGCUAACUACGUGCCAGCAGCCGCGGUAAUACGUAGGGUGCGAGCGUUAAUCGGAAUUACUGGGCGUAAAGCGUGCGCAGGCGGUUUUGUAAGACAGAGGUGAAAUCCCCGGGCUCAACCUGGGAACUGCCUUUGUGACUGCAAAGCUGGAGUGCGGCAGAGGGGGAUGGAAUUCCGCGUGUAGCAGUGAAAUGCGUAGAUAUGCGGAGGAACACCGAUGGCGAAGGCAAUCCCCUGGGCCUGCACUACGUNAUCACGAAGCG